UGCAUUCACUACUAUAAAUCGCUCUGGAUAAGAGCGUCUGCUAAAUGACUAAAA
rfam:Salmo salar isolate Sally breed double haploid chromosome ssa01, whole genome shotgun sequence.